rnacentral:rRNA from 3 species
CAGACCUCUAAUCGGAAAAGACUACCCGCUGAGUUUAAGCAUAUCACUAAGCGGAGGAGAAGAAACUAACCAGGAUUUCCCUAGUA